GCCAAAGUUGUACGUCUUUCCCUAACAGCAAGAGAGUUUUUGUUCAGCGUCGCUGCAAUGAAGCCCGGAACUCUGCUCGGAAUCGCUGCCUUCGGCUUUGUCUGCGUGACGGUCAACCUCAUGUUCGACUGCGCCAACGCGGAAAAAGUGGUGACCACCACGUGCUUCGUGGACAGAGGGAAGGAGGACUGCAGUCGUUACAAAUCAGACGGAAAGACGUGUGACGACCUGGGGUGCGAGAAGAAAAAUCAAAUCUGCUGCCUGAAAGACUGCAACAUGACCCAUUUCUGCCUGAUGGACAAAGACAUAACUCCAAAUCCAUGAGAACAUAAAAGCGACAAUCGGCUGUCGCCGAUGGUACCAUGUAUAAUCGGAAAUAAAUAAUCACUUUUCGUUUGGCGUUUCAGCGGAA